GUGGGCCUGGAUUAUCAGGGUUUAAUAUAGUAUUGUUUUCUUUUACGUUGAAAGGUUUUCUGUGUGAUUCAGGAUGUCCUGAUUAAUUAUUAUAUAAUAGUUUUUUUUGUUUAUAUAUAUAUUUAUUUAAGUUGUUUUAAUUUUUUUAAUUUUUAGUAAUUUUUUUUGAAAUACUUUUUUUUAUUAUAGUUUAAUUUUAAUGUAAAUGGGUUUUGUUAUUAUGGUGUAAGAAUUUUUUAUAUUUUACCUUUUGUAUCAGGGUUAAUUAAAUAAUUGCUUUUUAUAUAGUUUUCUCGAAUUGGGGGGAUUUACUUUAAUAUGAUUUUUUAUGUUUCAUAAUAGUCUUUAAUUUUAAGGUGGUAGUGAUAUUCUAGUCGUUCUUUAAUAUAUCUAGUUUUCUAAGAUGAAAUUUAAUUUUAAUGGGGUUUUAAACUUGAUUUUUUUAUUGAUUUUUUAAUUUUUAUUUAUUUUUUAGGGGCUAAGCUCUAGAUUUUUUUUAUAAUUUUAUUAUUACCUUGUUUUUAUAUAGGCUUGAAAUCAGCCAUUAUUUAAAUGGCGUUUUAGUUUAGUUUGUUUCUUAAUUAUUUUUUUUAAGGUUUAAAUUUUUUAUUGGAUUUUAGACUAUAAUUUAUGUUGUCUAUGAAUAAUGAUUAAAUUAGUAUAUUGGUUUUGUUUAAAUUAAAUGUUGUGUUAUUUUGAUGAAAGGAAUUCGGCAAUUUUUUAAUGUUUCCGCCUGUUUAUCAAAAACAUCUCUUAUAGUUUAUAUUUUAAGUUGGGCCUGCUCACUGAUUAUUUAAAGGGCCGCGGUAUAUUGACUGUGCAAAGGUAGCAUAAUCAUUAGUGCAUUAAUUGUGUACUGGAAUGAAAGGUUUGACGAGAAAUAUUCUGUCUCUUUUUGAUAUAUAGAAUUUUACUUUUUAGUAAGAAGGCUGGGAUUAUUUUUUAGGACGAUAAGACCCUAUAGAGUUUAAUUUGAUGUAUAUGUGUAUUUUGGGUUUAUUUUAUAUAAAUAUAUUUUAUACUAAAGGUUUUGUUGGGGUGACGUGGGUAAUAAUUAAACUGCUCAUUUUUUUUUUCAUUGAUUUAUGUUGUUUUUGAUCUUGUAUUAUUGAUAAUAAGAUAAAAUUACCUUAGGGAUAACAGCACAAUUAUCUUUAAGAGUUCAUAUUGACAAGAUAGAUUGUGACCUCGAUGUUGGAUUAAGGUUAAUCUUUAGGUGUAGAAGCUUAAUUUGAUUGGUC
rnacentral:rRNA from 1 species